GCGCCCGUAGCUCAGUUGGCAGAGCGGUGGAAGGGUGAUCCACAGCCCCGGGUUCAAAUCCCGGCGGGCGCA